rnacentral:ncRNA from 1 species
CCUGCAAGUGUGCCAGCUUGCAGAACAUGCCUUGAGUAAACGCCUAGAUGUUGUAGGCAUUCUGGCUAGGGCUUGGCAACCCGACCUUUAAAGAGAGUGAAAGCAAGUAAAGCAGACCGUGCAUGUUAGGUUUGUGUGAUUGUGAGUAGUGCGGGCCACAGCGUAGACCACUGUGGC